rnacentral:rRNA from 1 species
GAUGAACGCUGGCGGCGUGCCUAAUACAUGCAAGUCGAGCGAACAGACGAGGAGCUUGCUCCUCUGACGUUAGCGGCGGACGGGUGAGUAACACGUGGAUAACCUACCUAUAAGACUGGGAUAACUUCGGGAAACCGGAUCUAAUACCGGAUAAUAUAUUGAACCGCAUGGUUCAAUAGUGAAAGACGGUUUUGCUGUCACUUAUAGAUGGAUCCGCGCCGCAUUAGCUAGUUGGUAAGGUAAUGGCUUACCAAGGCGACGAUGCGUAGCCGACCUGAGAGGGUGAUCGGCCACACUGGAACUGAGACACGGUCCAGACUCCUACGGGAGGCAGCAGUAGGGAAUCUUCCGCAAUGGGCGAAAGCCUGACGGAGCAACGCCGCGUGAGUGAUGACGGUCUUCGGAUCGUAAAACUCUGUUAUUAGGGAAGAACAAAUGUGUAAGUAACUAUGCACGUCUUGACGGUACCUAAUCAGAAAGCCACGGCUAACUACGUG